rnacentral:rRNA from 1 species
CCUACGGGAGGCUGCAGUGAGGAAUAUUGGUCAAUGGCCGUAAGGCUGAACCAGCCAAGUAGCGUGAGGGAAGACUGCCCUAUGGGUUGUAAACCUCUUUUAUGCGGGGAUAAAGGUGUCCACGUGUGGAUGUUUGCAGGUACCGCAUGAAUAAGGACCGGCUAAUUCCGUGCCAGCAGCCGCGGUAAUACGGAAGGUCCGGGCGUUAUCCGGAUUUAUUGGGUUUAAAGGGUGCGUAGGCGGGUCUUUAAGCGUGCGGUGAAAGUUUGUGGCUCAACCAUGGAAGUGCGGUGCGAACUGGAGAGCUUGAGUGUGCGGAAGGCAGGCGGAAUGCGUGGUGUAGCGGUGAAAUGCUUAGAUAUCACGAAGAACCCCGAUUGCGAAGGCAGCCUGCCGCAGCGUUACUGACGCUGAAGCUCGAAAGCGUGGGGAUCGAACAGGAUUAGAUACCCGAGUAGUC